UAGAUCUUGCUCCAAAAAGAUAAAUAAUUCAACAUCGAGGUCAUAAUCUUCUUCUUUUAUAAGGACUUAAAGAAGAAAUUGUGCUGUUAUCCCUACGGUAGCUUAGUGGAAUCUCAGUUUGAGGGUGAAAGUGGAAAAGAAAGAAAGAUUUGGUUUUUUACCGCCCCAGUUAAACAGAAGUAAAGUUCGAUAGGGUCUUGUCGUCCUUCUUAUAUAUACAAGUUUUUUUACUUGAGUGAAAAAUUAGAAAGGUUAAGGUGAUAAAGAAAUUUAUAUGUCAGACCUUUCAUUCUAGCCUCUAAUUAGAAGGCAAAUGAUUAUGCUACCUUAGCACAAGUUAAUUGCGGCUAUUUAAAUCAUUGAGCAGGUCCUACUGAAUAUAAGUUCAUUCAGAAAUGUUUUUGAUAAACAGACAAUAAAGAUUGGCCGAGUUCAUGGACCUUAAUUUAAAUAGAAUUGCAAUAGGGUGCUAUAUAAAAGAAUGAGAUUAAAGCAGAUUUUACUAAUAAAAUCAUUAUGAAAGUUUCUAGGAGGUUUUCUUUUAGCAAAGUUUGGUAAGGGCAGUGAAGAAGUUUGAAAACUAUACGGACACUAUUAAUCCCAGGGUUUGAAGUGGGGUGGGAAAAACAACAUGUUUAAAAGAUUAUCCCUUUAAAAAUUCUAGUACUCCUACUUUUAAAAAAAACCAGAUAUUUUGGAAUGCGGGUGGAAUUUCAUCUCUAUUUUUCCUUUAUAAAGAUUUAUGCAACAAACUUGAAUAGAAAAAAUAGAUCAUUUCAAUUUCGGGAGAAUUUUUUAAAAAGUUUGGGUUGAAUUUCCCUGAUACUAAAGGUACAUUUCUUUUCUAUUUUGCGAAUAAUUAAUUUCCCUCACGGUAAAAUAGGAAGGGGGGACGAAUAUUAAUUAAUAAAAUAUUUUUUUAGACAUGAGAUAAAAUGGGUGAUU
rnacentral:rRNA from 1 species